GAGAUGGCGCCACUGCACUCCGGCCUGGGCAGCAGAGCGAGACUCUGUUUCAAAAAAAUAAAAAAGAAUCAGUGCUUCCACAUUUCUCACUGUGUCAUGUAAAGGUAAUCCCCACUAAGAGUCGUGAGCUCUUUCUGAGAUGAAGAGAAUUCUCAAUGUCAAGAUUUGAACAAGAAGAGAAUGGAAUACACAAUAUGGACAUCCAUAAAAAUUCAUCAGAGAGCAUUUUACUACUGAGCUGCAAAGGGAAAAACUUAAAAUGGAUAUGAAAAGUGAAGAAAGUGAUCAUAGGAGAAAACCAUUUCAGGUGUCUGAUGAUUUGUGAGCCUCAAGUGACUACUCUGUGGAAUCAUCUGUCCUUGCCUUUGAAUUAGCUUUCCCUAGGCCAUGAGUCAACAUUAGUAGUUUAUACAUCCAAAUUGAUGACAAGAGCACCUCAAAGGCAGCAGCCUCAAGGAGCAGCCAUGGCCCCAGACUUGUCGCACGGAUGCAGAAAACUUAAUGGAGGAGGCUGAGGUCAGAAUGGGAAGAGUUUUUAAAAAAUAAAAAGGGGAGCUAAUAUGUGAGGAACUGAUUGCUGUGCAUUAUUUUCCACUGAACAGACCUUCUUUUAACUUCUAAUCUCAAGCACAUAGCAGCUGUUGUUUUCAUAUUAAAGAUCAGUAAGUGUU
rnacentral:lncRNA from 1 species